GGGGGUAUAACUCAGUGGGAGAGUACUUGCCUAACAUAUAUAAGGUCCUGGGUUCAAUUCCCAGCACAGCCA
rnacentral:tRNA from 1 species